UCCAGACGGCUGAGAUCUGCCACUUGAAUAAUAAUAAUAAUAAUAAUAAUAAUAAUAUGAUGAGCAUGCGGGUCAACCGGUUGAAUGCAAACGGGGGGAAAAUAUGGGAAGACUGUAUAUCUGUGCAAUGUGUGUUGUGAAAUGAACGGACAUUUCUGGAAUCAUCAGAUCAAGGAAUUGUGUGCAAAUGUGAAUAAUCUGAAAAAUGUGAAUGCAUUAAAAGUCUAAAUACUGUAAGUAAUUCAUAACGAGUUACAUUGUGAUACAGGGGCUGCUGGUGCCACCUGUCCUGAGAUAAAGUGACGUUUUAUGCUGGAAAUUGAUAUUUGAAGAAAAGCAUUUGAUACAAUUAGGGUGGAGUGGGAAACUGUAAGGGAAACUUCAGUCUCUGUCACCCACAGGACAUAGGACAGGGGGCUCUGGUGUCCCCAAGGGUGUACGGUAAUAUUGACAGUGUAUAUUUAACAUAGGGGUGUCACCCACAGGACAUAGGACAGGGGGCUCUGGUGUCCCCAAGGGCAUACGGUAAUACUGAAAUGUAUAUUUAACAUAGGGGUGUCACCCACAGGGCAUAGGACAGGGGGCUCUGGUGUCCCCAAGGGCAUACGGUAAUAUUGGCAGUGUAUUUUUAACAUAGGGGUGUCACCCACAGGGCAUAGGACAGGGGGCUCUGGUGUCCCCAAGGGCAUACGGUAAUACUGACAGUGUAUAUUUAACAUAGGGGUGUCACCCACAGGACAUAGGACAGGGGGCUCUGGUGUCCCCAAUGGCGUACGUUAAUACUGACAGUGUAUAUUUAACAUAGGGGUGUCAACCACAGGGCAUAGGACAAGGGUCUCCAAUGUCACCAAGGGCAUAAAGUAAUACUGAAAGUCUAUAUUUAACAUAGCGGUGUCACCUACAGGGCAUAUGACAGGGGGCUCUGGUGUCCCCAAGGGUGUACUGUAAUACUGACAGUGUAUAUUUAACAUAGGGGUGUCACCCACAGGACAUAGAAUAGGGGCCUCCAAUGUCCCUGUUAUGGCCUACCAAAAGGCCUAGGGGUAUAUAAAUAGGCCGCACACUGUGAGAGAGUGAGAGGGGGGGACAAAACACAGAAAAAAACAAAACCAGCUAAAUAAAAACAGACCCCCUUUUAUUGUCAAAAAAAAAAAACCUCACAAUAUGGAGAAAAUUACACAAAACGAACAAGGCAGGAGGACAACACUAACUUAGCUGUCUUAGCUACACAAAGUUUACACAGCUAGAUGCAUACGAUUGACAUUUAUCACAUAGAUGGCUACCUUACAACAAUCACUUUACUUUAAUAAGCAACAGGAAACAAAAACCCAAAGCCAGGCCAUCCAGCCCUACCUCUCCAUACCUCACGCUGUCCUUCUCCUCUCACUCUCUCUGUCUCUCUACCCUAAAACCCAAAGAAGCUUCUUUUAUAACCCACACCCCACCAACACCCAGGUGAUUUCUUAACAACGGGCACCUCAAUAGGUGGGUAAUCAGGGCAGGACUCAAGUAAGCCAUCAGCACCGAAUUAGAGUAGAGUUUAACAAAAAGAUCUAGAGUAGGUCGUGACAGUCCCCAAUGACGUAUGGUAAUGCUGAAAGUCGAUAUAUAGCACAGGGGUGUCCCCCACAGGACAUAUAACAGGCGUCUGAAAUGUCCCCAAGGGUGUACAGUAAUACUAAAAGUCUAUAUUUAGCAUAGGGGUGUCCACCCAGAGGACAUAUAACAGGGGUGUCCAAUGUCCCCAAUGACAUACGAUAAUACUGCCAGUGUACAUUUAAUAUGGCAAUGCCCAGUGAAAGCUGCUCUAAAUAUCAAUGGGUAACAAGUGAGAAGGCGCACCCUCCUUCGGUGGCUGUAAUGACAAUUCUAUGCUGUCACUUGAUGUGAGUUAUCCAUUUCCCUGUUUUUCUUGACUGAUAUGAUAUCUGUAACUUUUCCACUUGCUAUGAUAAACCAUCUUGUUUAAUUAAAGCCAGACCUGCUCAUCUUGCAGCCCUAA